CCUACGGGAGGCAGCAGUGAGGAAUAUUGGUCAAUGGACGCAAGUCUGAACCAGCCAUGCCGCGUGCAGGAAGACGGCUCUAUGAGUUGUAAACUGCUUUUGUACGAGGGUAAACGCAUAUACGCGUAUCUGUCUGAAAGUAUCGUACGAAUAAGGAUCGGCUAACUCCGUGCCAGCAGCCGCGGUAAUACGGAGGAUUCAAGCGUUAUCCGGAUUUAUUGGGUUUAAAGGGUGCGUAGGCGGUCGGAUAAGUUAGAGGUGAAAUCCCGGGGCUCAACUUCGGAAUUGCCUCUGAUACUGUUAGGCUAGAGAGUAGUUGCGGUAGGCGGAAUGUAUGGUGUAGCGGUGAAAUGCUUAGAGAUCAUACAGAACACCGAUUGCGAAGGCAGCUUACCAAGCUACCUCUGACGUUGAGGCACGAAAGCGUGGGGAGCAAACAGGAUUAGAUACCCUAGUAGUC
rnacentral:rRNA from 1 species